AUUGUGCUUUGGAAAAAUCAAACGUAGCCUUGAGUUUUAAAAUUAUUAAGCUUACACUUUUUCACAAAAUAGAAAUGGAGUAAUAUAGCUCUGUCCUUCCGUUUUUUAAAGCCAAAAAAUGUAAGAAUGGAAUGUACUGGCUCACUGCUCCCACGGUGUCCUUACCAGCACAACUUACCCCAUCCCUCCCUAGCCCACUCUUGAGGAUACUUUCUUGCCACUGUCAGGCUUACUCCUGCCUCCUAGACUGAGGAAAGAAAAGCCUCCUGGUUUGGAGCUCAUAAUCAAGUCAGCCUUGCUGCAGGGCUCAUUUUAAGCCAGUAUCCUGGACCAGAUAAGGAAGCUGAAGCUUUGAGAAUUUAAUUUGCUCAAGGGGAGGCCAGGACAAGAAAUAAUGAAGAGUCCGAUGUGGCAGGAAUGUAGGAAACAAGUCAAUGAUGGAAGAUAAAUAUGGAGACGUGAUGAAGGCAAAAUUCUGAAGGGUCUUAGAGCCCAUUAUAAGACGUUUGGUUUUUAUGAUGCCAUUAAGAAUAUUUAAUUCAUGGGAGGAGGUCAAAAUAUCAACAUUAGCUGGAUUUUGGAAAAAGUGGAUUCCAACCCUCAGUGGACGACUUUGUGGAAUUCAAGACUCCAAUAGAGGAAGUCACCACAAAUAGCAAAAGAACAAGAAUUACCUGUGCAGCCUGAAGACGGGACUGAAUUGCUGCAAUUGUAACAUCAAAUGUUAAAUCUGAACCAGACCAUGUCCUGAAACAAAAGAGGAAGAAUCUUUGGGGAGCUGUGCUGAUGGUUUUGGAUUUCUCCAAAGGAAGAAUGCUUUGCCUGAGUCUUGUAUCCUUGGAAUUAUUAGGAAUGUUUGCCAUUAAAUAAGAUCUGAUUCAUGUGAGUUUGAGUUGACAGCUCUACCCUAUGUGUUAUCUCAGAACUCUAUACAGCAAACUAUAGAAUAUUGUUGAGAUAAAUUAAAUGAAACCUUUCCAAAUGGAAAGAUAUAUAUCAUUUUAUAGAUUGGAAAACUUAAUACUAAAAAGUGAUAGAUUCAAUACAAUGGAAUCUAUUGUUUCUAAAAUGUGCAUUUGUGUUAGUUUAUGUAUGUAUAUAAAAAUUGAAAAGCUAAUUUUAAAAAUACACAUGAAAAUAAAAGGGCCAAGAAGAACUGAGACAUUCUUGUGGAAGAUGUCAAUUCUUGCUGUACAGAUGCUAAGAUUACUAUAAGGCUUUAGUCAUUAAGGCAGAGUGGUAUUCCCUCAAAAAUUGACACACCACUGAAACAGAAUUGAAGGACAAAAAAGCCUCUACAUAAUUAUAGACACUUAAUUUAUGAUAACCAUGUCACUGAAGUUCACAUAGGACAGUUAUUUCAAUAAAUAUUAUUGAGACUGUGCAAGUAAAUAGAUAAAUUGGUAUAUAGGCAGACUCCUGUCCCACACAAUCCAUCAAAAUCAGCUC
rnacentral:lncRNA from 1 species